rnacentral:misc_RNA from 1 species
UCACCUUCCAAGCCCCGCUUGGUUCAUGGGCGCCUUUGUCCCGCCUCUGCGCGCGGACUCGCCUCAAGAACAUCAGGUAGCCGGUCCUGCCAGCCCCAGAGCGCAGUAGAAACGCGCCCCCGGGCGGCGUGGGCGGCAGUCCUCGAGAAAAACGACCCCAU